rnacentral:rRNA from 1 species
AACGAACGCUGGCGGCGUGCCUAACACAUGCAAGUCGAGCGCGAAUGGAGCAAUCCUAGUAGAGCGGCGCACGGGUGCGUAACACGUGGAUAAUCUGCCUGGAAGACCGGAAUAACCUGCCGAAAGGCUGGCUAAUACCGGAUAAGCCUACGGGGACUUCGGUCCCUGGAGGAAAAGGUGGCCUCUGUACACAAGCUAUCACUUCCAGAUGAGUCCGCGGCCCANCAGCUAGUUGGCGAGGUAACGGCCCACCAAGGCAACGACGGGUAGCUGGUCUGAGAGGACGAUCAGCCACACUGGAACUGAGACACGGUCCAGACUCCUACGGGAGGCAGCAGUGGGGAAUUUUGCACAAUGGGCGAAAGCCUGAUGCAGCAACGCCGCGUGUGUGAAGAAGGCCUCGGUUG